rnacentral:rRNA from 1 species
GGGGGAAAAUUAAUAAAUAAGAUUUAAUAAAAAAAUUUUUAAUAUUAAAAUAAUUUAAUGGGGGUUAAAGUAUAUUUAAUAGAAAAAAUUAAAAAAUUUAUAGUAAAAUAGUAUUGUAUAAGAAAUUUGAAAUAAGUGAAAAUAAAUUUAAUAAAAAGUAAAUUUAAUUUAUUGUAUCUUGUGUAUCAGAGUUUAUUAAUAGAAAUUUUUAAUUAAAAAUUUCUCGAAUUUAAAAGAGUUAAUUAAUUAUUAAAGUUAAUGUUGAAUAAUUAUUUUAAAUAGUUAAUUAGAAAUGAAAUGUUAAUCGUUUUUAAAUAUAUCUAGUUUUUUUAGAAAAAAAUUUAAUUUUAAAUAUAAAAAAAAAUGUAAUUUUAUUUAAAUAAAAUUACAUUUUUUAUAUUAAAUAUUUUAGGGGAUAAGCUUUAAAAUAGAUAUUUAUAAUAUGUAAAAUAAACUUAAAUUAAAAUUUUUAGAAUUUAUAUUGUUAAUAAAUUAUAAUUUUUUAUAAAUAAUUUUAUAUAAAUAUUAAAAUUUAAUAUUUUAUAUAUUUAAUUUAAUAUAAAAAAAAAUUUUUGAAUUUUAAAAAUUUUGUUAUAAUGAUAAAAUUAGUAUAUAAAAUUUAAUAAAAAUAAUAAUUUAGGAUAAUUUUAAUAAAGGAAUUCGGCAAAUAUAUAUAUUCACUUGUUUAUCAAAAACAUGUCUUUUUGAAAAUAAUUUAAAGUCUAAUCUGCCCACUGAUUUUAAAUUAAAGGGCUGCAGUAUUUUGACUGUACAAAGGUAGCAUAAUCAAUAGUCUCUUAAUUGGUGACUUGUAUGAAAGAUUUGAUGAAAUAUAAACUGUCUCUAUUAAAUUUAUAAAAUUUAAUUUUUUAGUUAAAAAGCUAAAAUAUAUUUAAAAGACGAGAAGACCCUAUAGAGUUUUAUAAUUCAUUUAUUUUUAUUUUUGUUUAAAUAUUAAAAUUAAAAAUAAAUGAAUUAUUUUAUUGGGGUGAUAGAAAAAUUAAAUAAACUUUUUUUAAAAUUUUUACAUUAAUAUAUGAUUAUAUGAUCCGUAAAUUACGAUUAAAAGAUUAAAUUACCUUAGGGAUAACAGCGUAAUUUUUUUUUUUAGUUCAAAUAAGAAAAAGAGUUUGCGACCUCGAUGUUGGAUUAAGAUAAAAUUUAAAAUGCAAAAGUUUAAAAUUUUUGAUCUGUUCGAUCAUUAAAAUCUUACAUGAUCUGAGUUCAAACCGGUGUAAGCCAGGUUGGUUUCUAUCUUUAAAUAAUUAAAAUACUUUAGUACGAAAGGAUUAAGUAUUUAAAAUAAUUUUAAUAAAUGAAUAUUAAUAAUAUAAUUUAUAAAUA